rnacentral:rRNA from 1 species
UGCGGCGUAUUAACUCGUUGGUGGGGUAACGGCCUACCAAGGUGAUGAUACGUAGCCGAACUGAGAGGUUGAUCGGCCACAUUGGGACUGAGACACGGCCCAAACUCCUACGGGAGGCAGCAGUAGGGAAUCUUCCACAAUGGACGAAAGUCUGAUGGAGCAACGCCGCGUGAAUGAAGAAGGCCUUCGGGUCGUAAAAUUCUGUUGUCAGAGAAGAAUGUGCGUGAGAGUAACUGUUCACGUAUUGACGGUAUCUGACCAGAAAGCCACGGCUAACUACGUGCCAGCAGCCGCGGUAAUACGUAGGUGGCAAGCGUUGUCCGGAUUUAUUGGGCGUAAAGAGAACGCAGGCGGUCUUUUAAGUCUGAUGUGAAAGCCUUCGGCUUAACCGAAGUAGUGCAUUGGAAACUGGAAGACUUGAGUGCAGAAGAGGAGAGUGGAACUCCAUGUGUAGCGGUGAAAUGCGUAGAUAUAUGGAAGAACACCAGUGGCGAAAGCGGCUCUCUGGUCUGUAACUGACGCUGAGGUUCGAAAGCGUGGGUAGCAAACAGGAUUAGAUACCCUGGUAGUCCACGCCGUAAACGAUGAGUGCUAAGUGUUGGAGGGUUUCCGCCCUUCAGUGCUGCAGCUAACGCAUUAAGCACUCCGCCUGGGGAGUACGGUCGCAAGACUGAAACUCAAAGGAAUUGACGGGGGCCCGCACAAGCGGUGGAGCAUGUGGUUUAAUUCGAAGCAACGCGAAGAACCUUACCAGGUCUCGACAUCUUCUGACAAUUCCAGAGAUGGAACGUUCCCUUCGGGGACAGAAUGACAGGUGGUGCAUGGUUGUCGUCAGCUCGUGUCGUGAGAUGUUGGGUUAAGUCCCGCAACGAGCGCAACCCUUAUUGUCAGUUGCCAUCAUUAAGUUGGGCACUCUGGCGAGACUGCCGGUGACAAACCGGAGGAAGGUGGGGGUGACGUCAAAUCAUCAUGCCCCUUAUGACCUGGGCUACACACGUGCUACAAUGGACGGUACAACGAGUCGCUAACUCGCGAGGGCAAGCUAAUCUCUUAAAGCCGUUCUCAGUUCGGAUUGCAGGCUGCAACUCGCCUGCGUGAAGUCGGAAUCGCUAGUAAUCGCGAAUCAGCAUGUCGCGGUGAAUACGUUCCCGGGCCUUGUACACACCGCCCGUCACCAUGAGAGUUUGUAACACCCAAAGUCGGUGGGGUAACCUUUUGGAGCCAGCCGCCUAAGGUGGGACAGAUGAUUGGGGUGAAGUCGAAACAAGGUA